rnacentral:misc_RNA from 1 species
AUGAACGCAAGUGAAUUCCGAAGGAGAGGGAAGGAGAUGGUGGAUUACAUGGCCAACUACAUGGAAGGCAUUGAGGGACGCCAGGUCUACCCUGACGUGGAGCCCGGGUACCUGCGGCCGCUGAUCCCUGCCGCUGCCCCUCAGGAGCCAGACACGUUUGAGGACAUCAUCAACGACGUUGAGAAGAUAAUCAUGCCUGGGGGAAGUGCCAGUGAAGCCACCCUGGUGGCCCUGCUGGCCGCUCGGACCAAAGUGAUCCAUCGGCUGCAGGCAGCGUCCCCAGAGCUCACACAGGCCGCUAUCAUGGAGAAGCUGGUGGCUUACUCAUCCGAUCAGAUGGUUGCCACCCUGGGGACCACAACAUGCUGCUCCUUUGACAAUCUCUUAGAAGUCGGUCCUAUCUUUUGCAGAUUCAUUCAACUUUAAUCCCCACAAAUGGCUAUUGGUGAAUUUUGACUGUUCUGCCAUGUGGGUGAAAAAGAGAACAGACUUAACGGGAGCCUUUAGACUGGACCCCACUUACCUGAAGCACAGCCAUCAGGAUUCAGGGCUUAUCACUGACUACCGGCAUUGGCAGAUACCACUGGGCAGAAGAUUUCGCUCUUUGAAAAUGUGGUUUGUAUUUAGGAUGUAUGGAGUCAAAGGACUGCAGGCUUAUAUCCGCAAGCAUGUCCAGCUGUCCCAUGAGUUUGAGUCACUGGUGCGCCAGGAUCCCCGCUUUGAAAUCUGUGUGGAAGUCAUUCUGGGGCUUGUCUGCUUUCGGCUAAAGGGUUCCAACAAAGUGAAUGAAGCUCUUCUGCAAAGAAUAAACAGUGCCAAAAAAAUCCACUUGGUUCCAUGUCACCUCAGGGACAAGUUUGUCCUGCGCUUUGCCAUCUGUUCUCGCACGGUGGAAUCUGCCCAUGUGCAGCGGGCCUGGGAACACAUCAAAGAGCUGGCGGCCGACGUGCUGCGAGCAGAGAGGGAGUAGGAGUGAAGCCAGCUGCAGGAAUCAAAAAUUGAAGAGAGAUAUAUCUGAAAACUGGAAUAAGAAGCAAAUAAAUAUCAUCCUGCCUUCAUGGAACUCAGCUGUCUGUGGCUUCCCAUGUCUUUCUCCAAAGUUAUCCAGAGGGUUGUGAUUUUGUCUGCUUAGUAUCUCAUCAACAAAGAAAUAUUAUUUGCUAAUUAAAAAGUUAAUCUUCAUGGCCAUAGCUUUUAUUCAUUAGCUGUGAUUUUUGUUGAUUAAAACAUUAUAGAUUUUCAUGUUCUUGCAGUCAUCAGAAGUGGUAGGAAAGCCUCACUGAUAUAUUUUCCAGGGCAAUCAAUGUUCACGCAACUUGAAAUUAUAUCUGUGGUCUUCAAAUUGUCUUUUGUCAUGUGGCUAAAUGCCUAAUAAACAAUUCAAGUGAAAUACUAA